rnacentral:rRNA from 1 species
GACCUGCGGAGGGAUCAUUACCGAGUUUACAACUCCCAAACCCCUGUGAACAUACCUAUACGUUGCCUCGGCGGAUCAGCCCGCGCCCUGUAAAACGGGACGGCCCGCCCGAGGACCCUAAACUCUGUUUUUAGUGGAACUUCUGAGUAAAACAAACAAAUAAAUCAAAACUUUCAACAACGGAUCUCUUGGUUCUGGCAUCGAUGAAGAACGCAGCAAAAUGCGAUAAGUAAUGUGAAUUGCAGAAUUCAGUGAAUCAUCGAAUCUUUGAACGCACAUUGCGCCCGCCAGUAUUCUGGCGGGCAUGCCUGUUCGAGCGUCAUUUCAACCCUCAAGCUCAGCUUGGUGUUGGGACUCGCGGUAACCCGCGUUCCCCAAAUCGAUUGGCGGUCACGUCGAGCUUCCAUAGCGUAGUAAUCAUACACCUCGUUACUGGUAAUCGUCGCGGCCACGCCGUAAAACCCCAACUUCUGAAUGUUGACCUCGGAUCAGGUAGGAAUACCCGCUGAACUUAAGCAUAUCAAUA